GACUGAUAUAGAACAUGUACGUGACUCAUCCGAUCAAACUCACUUUAAGAUGAAGAAAGCACGCAAUUUUUGCCUUGGAAUCGAUCGUGGUCAGGUUGCCAUCUUCGUCUCGAUCGACACCAACUCUAAAUACGCUCGAAUCUCAUCCUAUUCGGUGCCACAUCAAUCCACACGACUCAGACGUUGGCAUGAAUUUCCUAGGUCAUGUCGGGCCAUCGCCAUUUCAGAAAUUCGUCAGAAGUCAAAAAGGGUUUGGGGGGAAGAGAUCAGCGAAGGUGGUCGCGCACGACGACGACGACAAACGACACCGGCGGGCCGUGCACGUCGUCUUCUGCGGGGGGGGAGGUGAGGUGAUGGAUCGACUGUUCAUCAGACAAUGAAGAAGGCGACGAGCAUCGACCAUGUGACGACGAAAAGCUCUCCCAAAGGAAGGAAAAGCGCGCCUGCCUUUUCUAAAAAGAGGCUGUGCCCAUCUCCCGAACGCGUUUUUUCUCCUUUUGUGCUCCUUGCUGGGGUUUUUCCCACUUCAAUGCGAAUCGUUUCCAGCUAUCUUCUACCCCCCAAGUCCAACUUGCUUUGAUAAGAGUCCGAAGGGGCAGAGAUUCUCCAAAAGCAACGACUUCCACACACUCCUUUCCCAUCUGAAUAUGACAACUCGUUCUUUUGGAGAAGAAUUCCACUCUCUGCACCACAAAAGUGUGUAGAGCCUUCCAUUCGUUUUUCAUUUUUCCCUCCCUUGAGAUGCACGAGUCUGAGUGAUCGGACCUGGGUGGAUCUAUUGCCCAAAACAUGGUUCGGGCUCUGGCGAGCCAAGCAAGAAGCCAAUCGCAUGAUGAAGUCUACUUGACAUCUUGUUGCAAGUAUCUGUUGUCGAGUGAAUUUCGAUGUAGUUAAUUAAUUCUACUAAGCACAGAAGUUAGAUAACUGCUAUUGGAAUUUC